AAACCUACCUCGGGGUGCGCAGAAGAUUGCGCUGAGAUGUUUUCAGACGAACCCGUUGAACCUGAACCGGCUAAAACCGGCGGAGGGAAAGGUGAAGGUUUCAUCG
rnacentral:ncRNA from 2 species